UACGUAGGGUGCAAGCGUUGUCCGGAAUUAUUGGGCGUAAAGAGCUUGUAGGCGGUUUGUCGCGUCUGCCGUGAAAAUUCGAGGCUCAACCUCGAACUUGCGGUGGGUACGGGCAGACUAGAGUGUGGUAGGGGAGACUGGAAUUCCUGGUGUAGCGGUGAAAUGCGCAGAUAUCAGGAGGAACACCGGUGGCGAAGGCGGCCAUCUGGACGGUGACUGACGCUGAGACGCGAAAGCGUGGGGAGCAAACAGG
rnacentral:rRNA from 1 species